rnacentral:rRNA from 1 species
GAUGAACGCUAGCUACAGGCUUAACACAUGCAAGUCGAGGGGUAACGAGAGGAAAGCUUGCUUUCCUUGUCGACGACCGGCGCACGGGUGAGUAACGCGUAUCCAACCUGCCCCCAACUAGGGAAUAACCUUGCGAAAGUAAGACUAAUACCCUAUAAUUUCCUCAGAUGUCAUCUGACGAGGAAUAAAGAUUUAUCGGUUGUGGAUGGGGAUGCGUCUGAUUAGCUUGUUGGCGGGGUAACGGCCCACCAAGGCAACGAUCAGUAGGGGUUCUGAGAGGAAGGUCCCCCACAUUGGAACUGAGACACGGUCCAAACUCCUACGGGAGGCAGCAGUGAGGAAUAUUGGUCGAUGGGCGGAAGCCUGAACCAGCCAAGUAGCGUGCAGGAUGACGGCCCUAUGGGUUGUAAACUGCUUUUAUACAGGAAUAAAGUUGGCCACGUGUGGUUAUUUGUAGGUACUGUAUGAAUAAGGACCGGCUAAUUCCGUGCCAGCCGCCGCGGUAA